ensembl:miRNA
CUCAAAUCCUUGGGAACCUAGGUGUGAGUGCUGCUUCAGUGCAACACACCUAUUCAAGGAUUCAAA